rnacentral:rRNA from 1 species
CUCGUAGGUGGUUCGUCACGUCGGAUGUGAAACUCUGGGGCUUAACCCCAGACCUGCAUUCGAUACGGGCGAGCUUGAGUAUGGUAGGGGAGUCUGGAAUUCCUGGUGUAGCGGUGGAAUGCGCAGAUAUCAGGAGGAACACCAAUGGCGAAGGCAGGACUCUGGGCCAUUACUGACACUGAGGAGCGAAAGCGUGGGGAGCGAACAG